AUUAAGAUGUACAAAUACAUUGGCAUUUUCAUCGUCUUUCAAAUCGUUGUCAUCAGCGUUUUUGGUUUGACUGUGAUGAAAGUUAAGUCCCCAAAAAUCAGGUUAGGCAACAUCUAUGUCCUAAGUCUCAACUCCGUCCCGGCCCCACCUUCAUUCGACAUGAGCUUCGAAACCCAAAUCAGAGUUAGGAACUUAAACUGGGGUACCUAUAAGUUUAAUGACGGCAUGGCCACGUUUAUGUACGAAGGUGUGCCUGUUGGGCAAGUUGCUAUUCCGAGUAGCAAAGUCGGAAUGCGGUCCACGAAAAAAAUUGAUGUUGUGG
rnacentral:lncRNA from 1 species